rnacentral:rRNA from 1 species
AUGCCUAUGAAUUAUUCACUUGUUAUUGAACCAUUUGAUGUUUGGGGCUUUGAUUAUAUGGGACCUUUUCCUUCCUCUAAUGGGUAUACACAUAUUUUAGUUGCUGUUGAUUAUGUUACUAAGUGGGUAGAGGCUAUUCCAACUAGUAGUGCUGAUCAUAACACCUCUAUUAAGAUGCUUAAAGAAGUUAUUUUCCCGUGGUUUGGAGUCCCUAGAUAUUUAAUGACUGAUGGUGGUUCACACUUUAUUCAUGGUGCCUUUCGUAAAAUGCUUGCUAAGUAUGAUGUUAAUCAUAGAAUUGCAUCUCCUUAUCACCCAUAG